GAUGAACGCUGGCGGCGUGCCUAAUACAUGCAAGUCGAGCGAACAGACGAGGAGCUUGCUCCUCUGACGUUAGCGGCGGACGGGUGAGUAACACGUGGAUAACCUACCUAUAAGACUGGGAUAACUUCGGGAAACCGGAGCUAAUACCGGAUAAUAUAUUGAACCGCAUGGUUCAAUAGUGAAAGACGGUUUUGCUGUCACUUAUAGAUGGAUCCGCGCCGCAUUAGCUAGUUGGUAAGGUAACGGCUUACCAAGGCAACGAUGCGUAGCCGACCUGAGAGGGUGAUCGGCCACACUGGAACUGAGACACGGUCCAGACUACUACGGGAGGCAGCAGUAGGGAAUCUUCCGCAAUGGGCGAAAGCCGGACGGAGCAACGCCGCGGGAGUGAUGAAGGUCUUCGGAUCGUAAAACUGUGUUAUUAGGGAAGAACAAAUGUGUAAGUAACUAUGCACGUCUUGACGGUACCUAAUCAGAAAGCCACGGCUAACUACGUG
rnacentral:rRNA from 1 species